CGCCCCCUGGCGGCCUGUCCCGCGGCGGCACCCCCGCGCCCGCCGGCUGCAGCCACGACCAGCAGCUCAGAUUGUUGCUUAGCCAGCCUAUUCAGCCCAUGAUGCCUGGGUCCUGUAAUGCAAGACACCCUUCAGACCUCAGCAUGGCGGGAUCCCAGGCCAAGUAUUCUCAAACCCAACAAAUGUUUCAAAGUUUGGAAGUGCAGACUUCCAGCAGCAGCUCUCCAAUCGUACUGAUGGGACAAGCAGUGUUAAACCAAGGGUUCACCACUACCCCUCCUUCCCAGCCAUCAUCUUUGCCACCUAUGCAACUCCAGCACCAACAGCAUCAGCAACAACGCUACCUGCAGGUAGGACAAAGAGGCUAAUGUAUAAAGUGUGCACACAGAGUAACAAGGUGAGUGGGCUGUGCAAAUGGGGCCCCAGGUUUCUGCUGCAGCCUGAUCCUGGCAGAAAUGUCCAUUUAAAAGAUUCUGAUUCUGACUUCAGAUGUGUGACACAUUGAUACAGUGGCCAGUACUAGUACAGCAAGGGAGCAGUCAGAAUAUUUAAAAGGAGAUUACUAAUUCUGUAAAUUUAAAGCAUAAUCAGAUUAUCUUGGAUAUAUUUAAAGUUUAUUUCCAGUUGGAGAAAAUCAGUGCCUUAGGAUUUGUUCUGUACUCUUUAUUCAGUAUAAAAUUUGCUUAGUUUACGAGUCAAAAGAUGAGUUUUAAUUACCAGCAUCAACAUAAAAUAGAUCUGGAUCAGAUAUCUGGAUCCCUUUAGGAAACUAACAUAUUUUCUCAACUCUACAAGGCAAAGAAGAUAAAGUGGACCACGUUGCCUGGAAGAACCAGGUGAUUUGAAGAUGUAAAAAUACUUAUUUUUUGACCUAAUUCAACACAUGCUAGAGUAAAGGGGGAAAAUGAGGUGUCUCUGUAUUAGUUCAAUAGGAGCUGAACUGAGUCUGUAAAGCCUGGUCACAUAUCCACUGGCAUCACUGAAAGAGUAUAACCAACUUGAAAUGAUUAAACUCUUGUUACUGAAAUGAAAUCCUUAUCAUAGCCGAGAAUUAAUGAAAAAAAUUCUGGCAGAUACUGUUUCCAAUAAAGCAUCUGAAAAAUUCCCAUCAACACUGCAAAGUCACACCCAGCUGUAAGCUCAGGAAAAGGAAGGGCUAGAAGGGGCAGUAUGAGGCACAUUAGGGUCCGUUUCAUUUCUGCCAUCCAUCCGUGUCAUUUCUGACAUGUUCAGCCACGCGAUUCCCAAACAGGCUUUUCAGGAUA